GACGAACGCUGGCGGCGUGCUUAACACAUGCAAGUCGAACGGAAAGGCCCCCAUCUUGGUGGGGGUGCUCGAGUGGCGAACGGGUGAGUAACACGUGGGUGAUCUGCCCUGUACUUCGGGAUAAGCUUGGGAAACUGGGUCUAAUACCGGAUAGGACCAUGGUUUAGUGUCUCAUGGUGGAAAGAUUAUUGUUUUGGUGCAGGAUGAGCUCGCGGCCUAUCAGCUUGUUGGUGGGGUAAUGGCCUACCAAGGCGUCGACGGGUAGCCGGCCUGAGAGGGUGGACGGCCACAUUGGGACUGAGAUACGGACCAGACUCCUACGGGAGGCAGCAGUGGGGAAUAUUGCACAAUGGGGGCAAGCCUGAUGCAGCGACGCCGCGUGGGGGAUGACGGCCUUCGGGUUGUAAACUCCUUUCGUUAGGGACGAAGCCGCACUUUUUUUGGGUGUGGUGACGGUACCUUUGUUAAGAAGCACCGGCUAACUACGUG
rnacentral:rRNA from 1 species